rnacentral:misc_RNA from 1 species
CUUUCCCUCGCCGGUGCUUCCUGUGUGGCCCCCUGUUCACGUUGCAGGUUGUUGUGGAACCCUCUCGUGAGUCUUGUCUUUCCACCUCUCAUCCUCCACCCUUCCUUUCACGCCCCUCGCCCCUUAGCUCUUGUCAACCCAAGUCACCGCUGCUGCCCGUUUCUUACUCUUCUCCGUCGACACGCGAACGCAAACGAGAAACCGCACAUCCGCCAGCCAAGCGUGCAGCGCGCUCCCGUCCCUCUUCCAGCUUUCUAUUAUCCCGCGCGCGGCUGUGCCACUCGCAGAGUCCUCCCAGCUUGUCUUUCGGUUGGCAAGUCUCCUGUAGCUUCUCCCCUCCCCGUGCGAGUGCAUCGUGUCUUUGCUGGCUUUCGUUUGUGCGCGUGCUCAGCACGCCGACUCUCCUCGUUCUCGCGGAUAUCUCUCCCUCUCCCUGGUCGCUCUUUCCGUUCGCCCCUUCGCCGCUGAGCACCGCGCGGUGGGCGUGUUCUCGUUUCUCUUUUCGCAGGGCCCCCUCCCUCCGUCUGUGGCGCAGGCGCUCGUCUUUCUCCGCUCACCAUUUUCGGUGUUCCCUUUGGCCCCUCCCCCUCCAAACUCAUCACCACGCAGCUCUCGUCGUGUUACUGCUGCUGUUAUCGUCUUCGCUCCCUAUCCCGCAUCCUCAUCUUUCUUUCACCCCAGCUUUUCCGUCCAGCCUAUCCGCAACGUCCCUCCCGGACUCACGUGUGCUACUACGCGGUGCGAGCGAGCCACAAGCCGUGGUAUGCUUUGCCUGUAUUCUUUUCCUUUGCAGUCGCAGUGAAGGCAUCAACGCACAGGCACGGGCGUCCCACGUGUGGUUGAACUUGGUCUGCGCUCUUCCCUCUUCGCUCUCCCUCUCCGUUAUGGUUGUCGCUUCUUUUCGCCACUUUGCCGUGGCUGCUUGCAUCCACACGAUCCCACUCACCCACUCCCGUCCAUCUUCUUCGGCAGCUUGGGGUCUCCGCGUGUGGCCGACGCUUCUCUUUCUCUUUUGCUCUUUCCUUCACGGCAGAAGAGGCGAGCAAGGGGGAACACACCUCUCCGUGCGUGCUAUCUCAGGGUCCAGUGCCCACCCACCCCCCUCGCAACUCGCUGUGCUGGAAAGCCAAGCAGCACCCCGAUCCCCAUCCCCUGCCAAGUGCCGAGCCGCUUCUGCUGGUGACAGGGGGGUUAGUGUUGGGUGCAGGGGCCGCGCUCAGGUCACCGAGCUGGCGCCUUGCCGUAAACGCGUGCGUCUCCUGCCGCCUCGCACCACGCGGAUGGGGCCUGUGGCAGGGGCCGGGUGGUGGGGAAUGGGAUGCGGAGUGGCGUUGGGCCUCGCGUUGCAUGGCCGAGAGAGAGAUGAGUACACACGGCAGUGGGAAGGAAAAGCACCAUUUAUAUUUCGUAUUUGCCGCACGUUCUCCCUCACUCUUUUCAACUGAAUCUUUUCUGCCGCCCCCCCCCGUUUUCUGUGACCUCUCGCAGUGGCUGCUUGCACACAUGCGCCGUACCGGCAGGGCCUCUUCCUCUUGCCCGCAGUGGUGAAUGCGCAGCAUCUGCGUGCCGCUCAACUUUUUCCUCCCCCUCCGGCAUUCUCCGUUGUUAACCACCUCUACCAUGUUUCGCCUACCCCUCCUUUAUACCCGAGUCUUGUCUGUUUGCGCCUUUCUUGUGAGCACUGCCUGUCUUGUCACGUCGACGCUCGCUCCAUCGCCGACAAUUCCCACUCGCGAACCCGUAAG